UGUGGUUUAAUUCGACGCAACGCGAAGAACCUUACCUGGCCUUGACAUGCAGAGAACUUUCCAGAGAUGGAUUGGUGCCUUCGGGAACUCUGACACAGGUGCUGCAUGGCCGUCGUCAGCUCGUGUCGUGAGAUGUUGGGUUAAGUCCCGUAACGAGCGCAACCCCUAUCCCUAGUUGCUAGCAGUUCGGCUGAGAACUCUAGGGAGACUGCCGGUGACAAACCGGAGGAAGGUGGGGAUGACGUCAGGUCAUCAUGGCCCUUACGGCCAGGGCUACACACGUGCUACAAUGGUGCGUACAGAGGGCUGCAAACCCGCGAGGGGGAGCUAAUCUCACAAAACGCAUCGUAGUCCGGAUCGGAGUCUGCAACUCGACUCCGUGAAGUCGGAAUCGCUAGUAAUCGCGAAUCAGAAUGUCGCGGUGAAUACGUUCCCGGGCCUUGUACACACCGC
rnacentral:rRNA from 1 species